ensembl:lncRNA
AUACAACAUAGCAGUGAUAUAUUAUGAAGGUAGAAGAAGUUUCAAUAGUGAAGAGCCAAAUAAAAAAGUAAGGUUUUCUUUUUAACAAUUGGUUUUUCUCCACAGGAAAGGUGUGAAUAACUUUGUUGGAUCACAAAGUAUGGUCAGCAAAUAGCACUGAAAAAGCACCCUCUUCAUCUACAUGGCUGCCUGAGAGUGGAUUUGCUGUGCUGAAGACAGUCAGGAGCAAUUCCCACUGCCUACUGAGCUGCAUCUUCUGCUUGUCCAGCGUGCUUGGCUAUGGGACAAGCGAAGUCUCUCAUUUCCCAUAGAUCAGCAGUCUUGUGAGCUGAUCUUGAAGCUCCUCCAACUCAUGUAGCACCUGCUCGUGUCUGUCUGGAUCCUGUGCCAGGUGCUAGAACAGGUUGGGUGGUUGGGAUGCUCAGAAAUCCUGUGGCAGGAUAAUGUCUGCAGGCACCGCUUUGUUUCCUGUGAGGAAGUGAUCCAGGCGUCUCUCCUGCAGGCAGCAGUGCAGGUAGUACAAGAUGUCGUCCAUCUGCAGCACGAAAUGCCUCUCAUGCCAGCUUUCCAAAGGGAUGGCACUCAGGAGGUAUAUGAACACUGUCUUCAAUUCAUAGGUAGAAAAGUUGUGGCCCACCAGGAUAUAGGCGCACACUUGCAUACAUCUGAGGUAGAAAUUGCUGUGAUUGGCGUGGGUGACUAUAUGCUGUAAGAACUUUGCCUCUGCCACAGCACAGCUGUGUGGCCAGGUCAUGCUGGAGCUACCAGCACCCUGUGUCUCCUGGCUGCUUAGAAAGAUGUCCACAUCUUGCUGUACACCAAGCAUGACCUUACUGGAGACUGUUUUGAUGUGAAGAAGGUCGAUGUGAACCAUGUGGGAGUGCCUCGACAGCACUCACAUUCAGGAUGCGCUUUCCUGUCAGUCAAAUGCAUUUCCAGAGCUUUUUGGUCAGCGCCCGGUACCAGUGGGCUCUUCUGUAAAGCUGUGGAGGAAGAACAGCAUGCCCUGCUCCCUCCUGCAUGUGCGUUUCAACUCCACAUGGAUAUGGGAGUUCCUUGCUGGCAGCUCCCCAACAGUGCCCAGUUCCAGGCAGAAGACAUGUUACAAGGUGAAGGUCAAAACUGCCAGGAACGACUGAUAUUCAUGGCGUUAACUUUCAGUAUUUUCAUUGGCAUUGAAAGAAGAGAUAAAAAUCAUCUAGAGCUUCCAAAAUUAGAUACACAAUUAUGACCUCCUAGGUACUCGAGCCUCUCCUAUGACUCAUUUGUAAGUAUUUGAGCGCAUCUGUUCACCUUUGUACAAAUAGAGCCUGUGUCCAAAAUGUUGCGGGUUUAAAAGAGCAUAAGCAUUCCACUGUUGAUUUACAGAACAACAUUGCCAUUGUGAACUUUUAGUGAAUGUUUAAGUGAUGACCAUACAUGGUGAGCUGCAUGGUUUCCCAAGGACUGGUUGAAAACAUUGGUAUAGGUUCACUGUGAUCAGAAAGGUAGCAGCAGGCUGUAAUUGCUCUCACUUGGUCUCAAAAAGGCAAGAUGGGGGGGAAAAGCAUGCCUGCUUUUCCCUUCUAUGUCCCUUCUACAGUUGUCAGAAACAAAUAAACAAAGUGGUAUCUUUACA